UAGUGAACCAGUACCGUGAGGGAAAGGCGAAAAGAACCGCGGAGAGCGGAGUGAAAUAGAUCCUGAAACCGUAUGCGUACAAGCAGUGGGAGCCCACUUUGUUGGGUGACUGCGUACCUUUUGUAUAAUGGGUCAGCGACUUAUUUUCAGUGGCGAGCUUAACCGAAUAGGGGAGGCGUAGCGAAAGCGAGUCUUAAUAGGGCGUCUAGUCGCUGGGAAUAGACCCGAAACCGGGCGAUCUAUCCAUGGGCAGGUUGAAGGUUGGGUAACACUAACUGGAGGACCGAACCGACUACCGUUGAAAAGUUAGCGGAUGACCUGUGGAUCGGAGUGAAAGGCUAAUCAAGCUCGGAGAUAGCUGGUUCUCCUCGAAAGCUAUUUAGGUAGCGCCUCAUGUAUCACUGUAGGGGGUAGAGCACUGUUUCGGCUAGGGGGUCAUCCCGACUUACCAAACCGAUGCAAACUCCGAAUACCUACAAGUGCCGAGCAUGGGAGACACACGGCGGGUGCUAACGUCCGUCGUGAAAAGGGAAACAACCCAGACCGUCAGCUAAGGUCCCAAAGUCAUGGUUAAGUGGGAAACGAUGUGGGAAGGCUUAGACAGCUAGGAGGUUGGCUUAGAAGCAGCCACCCUUUAAAGAAAGCGUAAUAGCUCACUAGUCGAGUCGGCCUGCGCGGAAGAUGUAACGGGGCUCAAACCAUGCACCGAAGCUACGGGUAUCACCUUUGGUGAUGCGGUAGAGGAGCGUUCUGUAAGCCUGUGAAGGUGAGUUGAGAAGCUUGCUGGAGGUAUCAGAAGUGCGAAUGCUGACAUGAGUAACGACAAUGGGUGUGAAAAACACCCACGCCGAAAGACCAAGGUUUCCUGCGCAACGUUAAUCGACGCAGGGUUAGUCGGUCCCUAAGGCGAGGCUGAAAAGCGUAGUCGAUGGAAAACAGGUUAAUAUUCCUGUACUUCUGGUUAUUGCGAUGGAGGGACGGAGAAGGCUAGGCCAGCCUGGCGUUGGUAGUCCAGGUUUAAGGUGGUAGGCUGAGAUCUUAGGUAAAUCCGGGAUCUUAAGGCCGAGAGCUGAUGACGAGUGUUCUUU
rnacentral:rRNA from 1 species